rnacentral:rRNA from 1 species
CCUACGGGAGGCAGCAGUGGGGAAUAUUGCACAAUGGGCGCAAGCCUGAUGCAGCCAUGCCGCGUGUGUGAAGAAGGCCUUCGGGUUGUAAAGCACUUUCAGCGGGGAGGAAGGCGGUGAGGUUAAUAACCUCAUCGAUUGACGUUACCCGCAGAAGAAGCACCGGCUAACUCCGUGCCAGCAGCGCGGUAAUACGGAGGGUGCAAGCGUUAAUCGGAAUUACUGGGCGUAAAGCGCACGCAGGCGGUCUGUCAAGUCGGAUGUGAAAUCCCCGGGCUCAACCUGGGAACUGCAUUCGAAACUGGCAGGCUAGAGUCUUGUAGAGGGGGGUAGAAUUCCAGGUGUAGCGGUGAAAUGCGUAGAGAUCUGGAGGAAUACCGGUGGCGAAGGCGGCCCCCUGGACAAAGACUGACGCUCAGGUGCGAAAGCGUGGGGAGCAAACAGGAUUAGAUACCCCGGUAGUC